AUUGAACGCUGGCGGCAGGCUUAACACAUGCAAGUCGAGCGAGCGGCGGACGGGUGUGUAAUGUCUGGGACACUGCCUGAUGGAGGGGGAUAACUACUGGAAACGGUCGCAAAUACCGCAUACCAUCAGGUGCGCCCAUAUGGGAUUAGCUAGUGGGUGGGGUAAUGGCUCACCUAGGCGACGAUCCCUAGCUGGUCUGAGAGGAUGACCAGCCACACUGGGACUGAGACACGGGCCAGACUCCUACGGGAGGCAGCAGUGGGGAAUAUUGCACAAUGGGCGCAAGCCUGAUGCAGCCAUGCCGCGUGUGUGAAGAAGGCCUUCGGGUUGUAAAGCACUUUCAGCGAGUAGGCGUUACUCGCAGAAGAAGCACCGGCUAACUCCGUGCCAGCCGCCGCGGUAAUUC
rnacentral:rRNA from 1 species